rnacentral:rRNA from 1 species
CCCUUAGAUGUUCUGGGCCGCACGCGCGCUACACUGAUGAAGGCAGCGAGUCUUCCUUGGCCGAAAGGUCUGGGUAAUCUUGUGAAACUUCAUCGUGAUGGGGAUAGACCAUUGCAAUUAUUGGUCUUGAACGAGGAAUUCCUAGUAAGCGCGAGUCAUCAGCUCGCGUUGAUUACGUCCCUGCCCUUUGUACACACCGCCCGUCGCUACUACCGAUUGAAUGGCUUAGUGAGGCCUUGGGAUUCUGGGCGGCCAGAAAUGGCUGCUCGGGAGAACUUGUCCAAACUUGGUCAUUUAGAGGAAGUAAAAGUCGUAACA